CCUAAUUAUGGGAAAUGCCAUGAUUUAAGGAUUGUGAAAAAAGUACGAAAGGAGAGAUCCAGUUGUUUCAAAUCUGUUUAGGGUUGGGGCUGAUUGAUUUUUUUCUAUACUUUUUUUCAGGCUAAAGAAGAUGAUUUUGAGAAAUUUGAUUGUGUUGCUUUUAUAAAUGCUGCAGAGAACUUUUUGACAUUAGAAGCAUUUCGGAAGUUUCCAGGACUGCGGAAACUGGAACUUUCCUUGAAUGGRCUAAGAAAUCUGAAAAUUACUGCUGGAGACUUCCUGCAUUUGGAAGUAAGAUAAGAGGGAUCUCCUCCCUAGUGUCACGCUGAAGUGUAACACCUAACAUUAAUACGUGCUUCUGCAAGUGUGAGUUCUCUGAAACCAUGUGGUAAUUCUCUCUUCCUGCUCCCUUGUGAAUCUGGGAUGUCCUUUCCCUUGCG
rnacentral:lncRNA from 1 species